rnacentral:rRNA from 1 species
AGAGUUUGAUCAUGGCUCAGAUUGAACGCUGGCGGCAUGCCUUACGCAUGCAAGUCGAACGGUAACAGGUUAAGCUGACGAGUGGCGAACGGGUGAGUAAUAUAUCGGAACGUGCCCAGUCGUGGGGGAUAACUGCUCGAAAGAGCAGCUAAUACCGCAUACGACCUGAGGGUGAAAGCGGGGGAUCGCAAGACCUCGCGCGAUUGGAGCGGCCGAUAUCAGAUUAGGUAGUUGGUGGGGUAAAGGCCCACCAAGCCAACGAUCUGUAGCUGGUCUGAGAGGACGACCAGCCACACUGAGACUGA